UUUGCAGCGUUUGUUGAGAAAGUUUAGUAAUGAAAUGGAAGAUUUUAAAUCAGCAACCGCAAGAAAUUUUGCAGCCACGGAGUUUUUCUCUCACUGACUGACUCAGCCUUGCUGAGUCGCUCAGGCCAGGGGGUCUUUGCUGGAGCGAUUCAUCAACCCCUUGUAGCAUGUCCUUCAACAAACAAUGGGAUGUGACUGAACCCAUUACUGGAAAUCCAUCAGGAUUCUGGCUUCGAGGGGUGUAGGUGCUAAUCCAGUUCUCCAAGAGGAAGCUCCAGCUGGAAGGGACAGUCUGCUGAUGGCAGUCUGCUCUGCACCUGCUCUCGGCACUGGCUGCCUGAAAGCGAAGCAGGGAACACAAACUUCCUCUAUGCUGACAGUCCC
rnacentral:lncRNA from 1 species